UUGUUGUUCUAGCAGUUUCCAUCGGGCCAAUCCGGUACGUCACAACAAGCUGCUAUGGGAUUGAAGUUAAUUUGUAGUACCAUUUUGCAAAGCAGAGCGAUCAAAACAAGUUAUAGAAGAAAAGGGCGGGCACCAGAGAACGGCUGCUGUGUACCGUAACCGCUCGGUUAUUUGGUAAAACCAAUACUUGCGGUGAGAAAAUACCAAAUGGUAAAAAGAAUUUCAACCACUGACACUAACUGCAACCGCCCGCUAUGGUGUUAGGAACACUUUAAUGGGUAAAGCUUUGGAAGUGCAUACACCAUUCCCUAAUUCUAGACAACUUCUCAUACUUACCAAUGAAAGGAUUAUCAUUGACGAAAUCAUACAAAGCUUGAUUUCCAAUCAAAAAUGAGCCCACAAUACGGCCCUGAUGCAUUUUCUUCAUACGAUUGGUAACUGCGCCAGCCUUGACUAAAUCAACUACACCGUUGGCAAACAUCUCGGAAUGGAUGCCCAAAUCUUUAUGAUUAUGCAAAGCAUUCAAGACAGCAUCUGGAAUGCUACCGAUGCCCAUUUGCAGUGUGGCACCAUCA